UGCCCCAUGGCUGAGUUGGUUACAGCGUCCGACUGUUAUUCAUAUCAAUCGGAAGGUCGAGAGUUCGAGCCUCUCUGGGGCAG
rnacentral:tRNA from 1 species